rnacentral:rRNA from 1 species
GACGAACGCUGGCGGCGUGCUUAACACAUGCAAGUCGAACGGAAAGGCCCGGCCUUGGGGGGGUGGGCGGGUGGCGAACGGGGGAGUAACACGUGGGUAACCUGCCCCUGACUGUGGGAUAACUUCAUGAAACUGGGGCUAAUACCGCAUAGGAGCUCCUGCUGCAUGGUGGGGGUGGGAAAGUUUCGGCGGUUGGGGAUGGACACGCGGCUUAUGAGCUUGUUGGUGGGGUAGUGGCAUACGACGGCUUUGACGGGUAGCCGGCCUGGGAGGGUGAGCGGCCACAGUGGGACUGGGACACGGCCCCGACUCCUACGGCAGGCAGCAGCGGGGGAUGUUGCACAAUGGGCGGAGGCCUGAUGCUGAACCGCCGCUUGCGGGAUGACGGCCUUCGGGUUGUGAUCCUCUUUCGCCUGUACCGAAGCGUGUGUGACGGUAAUGGGUAGAGUAGCACCGGCUAACUUCGUU